rnacentral:rRNA from 1 species
UAAUCGAGUGUCUAGGGAUGCUGACAGGUUUACUUUGAAAAAAUUAGAGUGCUCAAAGCAGGCUAUUACGCUUGAAUAUUAGUGCAUGGAAUAAUAGAAUAGGAAGUUGUUUCUAUUUUGUUGGUUUUCGGAAAUCGACUUAAUGAUUAAUAGGGACAGUCGGGGGCAUUUGUAUUCAAACGACAGAGGUGAAAUUCUUGGACCGUUUGAAGACAAACUACUGCGAAGGCAUUUGCCAAGAAUGUUUUCAUUAAUCAAGAACGAAAGUUAGAGGUUCGAAGGCGAUUAGAUACCGCCCUAGUUCUAACCAUAAACGAUGCCAGCUAGCGAUCUGAGGACGUUUUUUUUGUAGACUCCUCAGGAAGCUUCCGGGAAACCAAAGCGUGUGGGUUCCGGGGGAAGUAUGGUUGCAAAGCUGAAACUUAAAGGAAUUGACGGAAGGGCACCACCAGGAGUGGAGCCUGCGGCUUAAUUUGACUCAACACGGGAAAUCUCACCAGGCCCGGACACUGGAAGGAUUGACAGAUUGAGAGCUCUUUCUCGAUUCGGUGGGUGGUGGUGCAUGGCCGUUCUUAGUUGGUGGAGUGAUUUGUCUGGUUAAUUCCGAUAACGAACGAGACUCUGUCCUGCUAAAUAGUGUCAGCCUCUCUUUUGGGCUGACAAUUCUUCUUAGAGGGACUGGCGGCUCCUAGCCGCACGAGAUAGAGCAAUAACAGGUCUGUGAUGCCCUUAGAUGUUCUGGGCAGCACGCGCGCUACACUGAAUAGAUCAGCGUGUUCUCCCUUUCUGAGAAGAACGGGUAAACCGCUGAACCCUAUUCGUGGUAGGGAUCGGGGCUUGCAAUUAUUCCCCGUGAACCAGGAAUUCCCAGUAGGCGCGAGUCAUAAGCUCGCGUCGAUUACGUCCCUGCCCUUUGUACACACCGCCCGUCGCUACUACCGAUUGAACGUUUUAGUGAGGUCCACGGACUGUUUGCAGAGCGGAUUAUUCUGCCUUGCUGGCGGG